GACGAACGCUGGCGGCGUGCCUAAUACAUGCAAGUCGAACGAGAGCGCCCGGUGCUUGCACUGGUCAAUCUAGUGGCGCACGGGUGAGUAACACGUGGGUAACCUGCCCAUCAGAGGGGGAUAACAUCCGGAAACGGAUGCUAAAACCGCAUAGGUCUUCGAACCGCAUGGUUUGAAGAGGAAAAGAGGCGCAAGCUUCUGCUGUUGGAUGUACCCGCGUUGCAGUAGCUAGAUGGUGUGGUAACGGCUCACCUGGGCCGCGAUGCGGAGCCGAUCGGCGAGGGUGAUAGGCCACAUGGGGACUGAGACACGGACCAUACUCCUGCGGGAGGCAGCAGUAGGGAAUCGGCCGCAAUGGACGCAAGUCUGACGGAGCAACGCCGCGUGAGUGAAGAAGGUUUUCGGAUCGUAAAACUCUGUUGUUAGAGAAGAACAAGUGCUAGAGUAACUGUUAGCGCAUUGACGGUAACUAACCAGAAAGCCACGGCUAACUACGUG
rnacentral:rRNA from 1 species